rnacentral:rRNA from 1 species
GACGAACGCUGGGCGGCGUGCCUAACACAUGCAAGUCGAACGAAGAAUGUUUUCGGAAUAUUCUUAGUGGCGGACGGGUGAGUAACGCGUGAACAAUCUGCCCCGUACAAAGGGAUAGCCUCGGGAAACCGGGAUUAAAACCAUAUAACACUUAACUGCCGCAUGGUAGUGAAGUCAAAUCGAUUAAGAGGUAUGGGAUGAGUUCGCGUCUGAUUAGCUAGUUGGUGAGGUAAGGGCUCACCAAGGCGACGAUCAGUAGCCGGCCUGAGAGGGUGAACGGCCACACUGGAACUGAGACACGGUCCAGACUCCUACGGGAGGCAGCAGUGGGGAAUAUUGCACAAUGGAGGGAACUCUGAUGCAGCGACGCCGCGUGAGUGAAGAAGGUCUUCGGAUCGUAAAACUCUGUCCUUGGUGAAGAAAAGGACGGUAGCCAAGGAGGAAGCCCCGGCUAACUACGUG